rnacentral:misc_RNA from 1 species
AUCCUAAAUAAUGAAUUUAUAAAUUUUUGAAAAAAUUUAAAGAGUAAUAAAUUCAAAUUAAUAAAAAAAUUAAUGCAUAAAAUAAAUAAAAUAAGAGAUAAGAAGAGAUGCGACCACUUCCUACAUAUUUUAUACCCUCUCCUACAAAGAAACUGGUAACACCGACCCCAUUGGUGAUUCCAUCAAUUAUUCGUUUAUCAAAAAAAUGAAUUAAUUCAACCAAUUUUCUUAUACCCCCAAUAAAAGAUAUUGCAUAAAAAGCAUCUAUAUAACCUCGAUUAGAGGACCAAUUAUAUAUCACAUUUAUUAUUUUGUCCCAAAAAAUUCUCUUAGGGCCUUUUUUAGCAAACGAAUUAAAGAAAUUAAAAUUUAGUAACGAUGAAUAAACAGGCUUAUAUAAAAAGGACGCUAUAAAUAUUCCGAAAAAAGCUAUACUGACUGAAAAAAUUGCAUUUGUUACAAAUUCAUACCAAUCCACAGAAUUUUCUGGAUUUUGAUGCAAAAGGUUUAAAGACGGGGUUAAAAGUUUUGACAAUAUAUCUAUAUCCAACUGUAUUCCUUCUUGAUUGAAUUGAUUGAAAGGAAUUCCUAUGGCUCCAAUAAACAAAGUAAAUAGUACUAAGAUAAGCAUAGGAAAUAACAUAGUAUUAUCCGAUUCAUGGGGAUAGGAAAAAAUCCUUUUAGUGUUAAAAUUUUUAACAGUAAUAAAGGGCCACGUCAUAUUUCUUACAUUACCAUCAAUUUGAUAUGUGUUCUUCCAAAAAAAAGAAGCCCUUUCCUUAUUAUUCAUUGUUAAUAAAGCUAAUAAACGAAAAUUUUUGUUAAGCAUUUUUGAUCCUUCUUUACCCCAUAAAGAGAUUGAAUAAAAUGAACUGUUUUUUUUACCACUGUAAUUUUUAAAAUGAGCAUUAAAAUGUCCGUCAAAAGUAAGUAAAUAAACCCGAAACAUAUAAAAUGCAGUUAAUCCUGCUGUGAAACAGGCUAUUAUUGCGAAAAUAGGUGAAUACAACCAACUAUCAUUAAGAAUUUCAUCUUUGGACCAAAAACAGGCGAAGGGUGGAAUACCACAAAGAGAAAGUGUUCCUAAUAAAAAAGCCGUUUUUGUAAUUGGAAUAUGUUUUGUUAAACCACCCAUAAGAACCAUAUUUUGACUCUUAUCUGGAGAAUAACCAAGAAUAGCUUCCAUUGAAUGAAUAAUGGAUCCAGAUCCUAAAAACAACAAUGCUUUCGAAUAGGCAUGAGUAAUCAAAUGAAAUAAAGCAGCCCGAUAAGACCCCAUACCUAGAGCUAACAUCAUAUAACCCAAUUGAGACAUUGUAGAAUAGGCUAAACUUCUCUUAAUAUCUUUUUGAGCAAGAGCUAAAGUAACUCCUAAAAAUACUGUUAUUAUACCUAUCAAAGCUAUUAGAUUCAUUAUGAAAGGUAUAAUUACGAAAAGAGGAAAAAGGCGAGCUACAAGAAAAAUUCCCGCCGCUACCAUAGUAGCAGCAUGUAUCAGAGCUGAAAUAGGAGUAGGCCCUUCCAUGGCAUCUGGUAACCAUACAUGAAGAGGAAAUUGCGCCGAUUUAGCAAUUGCGCCAGAAAAUAAUAGAAAUGCACACAAAGUAACAAAUAAAAAAUUAACUUGAUUAUUAUAAAUCAAGUUAUUGAAGAUUUUGAACAAAUCCCGAAAUUCGAAACUGCCCGUUAUCCAAUAAAGACCUAAAAUCCCUAAUAAUAAACCAAAAUCCCCUACACGAUUAGUUACAAACGCUUUUUGACAAGCAUUCGAUGCAAUAGGUCGUGUGAACCAAAAACCUAUUAAUAGAUAAGAACACACUCCAACCAAUUCCCAAAAAAAUAUAAAUUUGUAUCAAAUUAGAACUAGUAACUAAUCCCAACAUUGAAGUAGUGAAAAAACUCAUAUAAGCAAAAAAUCUCAAAUAACCUUGAUCAUGAGACAUAUAAUUGUCACUAUAAAAAAGAACCAAAAUACCAACUGUAGUAAUUAAUACUGACAAAAUAGAAGUAAGUGGGUCAAUCAAGUGUCCGAAUUCUAAAGAAAAAUCAUUAUUAAUAGUCCACGACCAUAUAUAUUGAUAAAUAAAACUACUAUUUAUUUGCUGAAUAGACAAAUCGAUUGAAAAAAUCAUGACUAUACUUAACAAGAAAACGCUUGGAAAAGCCCACAUACGACGCAGUUUUUUUGUUGCUGCCGGAAAAAGCAGGAGUCCCACUCCUAUUAACAUAGGGACUGGCAAUGUAACGAAAGAUAUGAUCCAUGAAUAUUGAUAUAUAUGUUCCAUAAAAAACUUUUUUAAUUAAUAAAUAAUUUUAAUUAAUAAAUAUAAUUGUUUCUUGUUUCUGAUUCAUCGACUCUUAUAUCUUUUUAAAUAAGUCAGUCAAUAAUAAUAAAAA